ensembl:lncRNA
GCCAUUCACAGUGCAGGUCUGUGCUUUCUUUGUGGACUGCACUUGAGAAGUGCUAAAAGCGUAAGGGUACAUUGUAUACAUAUAGCUUCCACAUGCUGUUGAUUAUGUUGUCCCAUCUUUCACAUCAGAAGAGUCAGGAAACCAAGACGUUACUGUUGAUCACACGUUGGAAUGCAUUGUUAAAGCCGUGUGCUUACAAAAGAAAAAGUUGUUCAUCCUUUGGCCUUGUUUCAAACCAGGAAACAAGACUGUCAAAGUCUGUGUGAAAGAGCUGUCAGAGCCUUCUGCUGUUUACUGGUAGGUAGAGAGGGUUGUGGAGACAAAGGCAGGAAACCAUUCUUGAACAGAAGAAGCACAAUCAUAGAAUCACAGAAUGGUUUGGGUUGGAAGGGACCUUAAAGCACACCCAGUUCCAGUCCCCCACCAUGGGCAGGUUUGUCCCCCACCAGAUCAGACUGCCCAAAGCCCCAUCCAACCUGACCUUGAGCACCUGCGGGGAUGGGGCACCCAUGGCUUCUCUGGGCAGUAGUCUAUAUAAAGUUAAAGGCUAUACAGGGAAGAGUUAUAGUGAAGAGUUGCUUCCUUGCAUCUAAUCUAAAGCUGCCAUCUUAAAGCCAUUAACCAUUGUCUUAUCCAUACAUGCCAUUGUAAAAGGUCCCUCCUCAGCUUUCCUGUGGGCCCCUUUAGGUACUGUAAGGCUACAGUGAGGUCUCCCCAGAGCCAAACUUGAACAAGCCCAACUCUCAACCUUUCUUCAUAGGAGAGGUGCUCCAGCCCUCUGAGCAUCUUCGUGGCCCUUCUCUGGACCCAGUCCAAGAGGUCCAUACCCUUCUUACACUGGGCGCCCUCGAGAUGAGCACAAUAUUCCGGACAGGGCCUCAAGAGAACAGAAAUAGAAUUCAGUAAUAAUACGAAAAUCUGAACAGGAAAACUUCCAGGUUAAGUUAAAUAUAUAUAUAUAUAUAUACUGACUUUUGUGUAAGAUUUUGUGAUCGUCCUCAUCUCUUAAAGAAGGGUGGGGGUGCCGAGUUGUGUGUUGGUCAACCAAAGGGCUCCGUCUCUGCUUCCUGUUUAGUCUCAAUGCAGGCCUUGUGCUGGCAGGGCAGAACCAAAACGAGGUGCUAGUGAGCUGAGAGCUAUUGGUUCUGGGUUGCUGGGAGCCCUGAAGGGGUCAAGACUGGGAUUUUGUUUUGUUUGCGCACUCGGGAUAAAGUGCUGGAGUAAUAUCUUGGGCUGUCUUUGUCAGGAGCUUUAGCUGCUGCCUUCCUUAGCGUUUGUGUGGAUAUCUUUCCAACAUUUGGUGCACUGCAAUUAAGUCAGCGUCAGAAGCUGUAAGAUGAAAGAUGAGUGGGAGGGGAGAGAAAAAUAGAGCGAUAACCAAAGGCUGUUGCCAGCAAGAACUAAAGAAACAGCACCAAAUGAUUGGCAAAGUACCCUUUGGCUUCUUUCAUACAGUCCUUCAUCACAAGCAAUAAAGCACCUCUUGAGUUGUUCUUCGCCUACUGGUUGUAAAUCCUAAUGUCUGUGUUCCCAGACCUCACAACAGCCUCUGCUCUCCGGGAGUCCAACUGCUGGGCACGUGGAGCAGACAGAGGAGUCAAAAUGACGAUGGGAAGAGUAGCAAUCACUGAAUUUCUCACUCUCCACCAGGGAAUCUGCUGUGAGUUCUGGGAGGUGGAAAGAAGGCAGCUCCUCUGGAAACACUGUUGGCUUCUAAUAUGAUCUGUUUUUCACAGCCAAAGAAGGGGGAGCAGCCACCUUCCCCCCGAACAGAGCAUGUGGAAGUGAUGUCCUCAUUUCUCUUCUGCCUCACCAGGUGAACCCUGAGGCUGAGGGUAAGGGAGGAGAACAGAGGGCCCAGGAGAAUGGCAAAGCUGGCAAAAGCUGGACUGAAUGUCUGCAUAGUUAGCAAAGGACGUGGCCUGGAAAGGGAGACCUCGGUGUCGUGGAGGGCCCUUGCCUGAAUGUGAUGCCUAUAGGCCAUAUUUUAAAACAAAACACUAACACAUUCAGCCUUCCUUGCUUUUGCUCCAAAUCACUGCAGCCGUGGACUGGAGUUUUCCCAUUUAGGUGGAGCAGCAAAGCUGAAUGGGAACGUCUGGCUUCUUUCAGAGCUCCACCAGUGCAGACCUCCCUCACGAAAGCCACGGUGAUGUCACGUCCAGCAGCACAGGAGGGGAUCAGAGCGUGCUCCUACCCAUUCAGCACAGCCCCGAGAUUACUUUUAACCAAGGUCACUUCUGCAGUUCACUUGACAACAGCCUGGGCAGCGGCACACUACUGGCACAGCCUGCGGACUGCUAUAGGGAUGGGAGGACAAACAGUGACAAUUGUCUCCCGGAUUUACUGCGUCGAAGCUGUGCCGCGGCCGCCUUCUGAUCAGAAGUGGGUAGAUAAAUCUGCUCCGUGUUCUGCAGUGACUGCCUGCUGCCCUGAAGGAAGCGUGUCAUGUCUGCAAGGAAGCGUUUCAACCUGCAGCCGUGGAGUACGAACAGCAUCAAUCACUCCUUUCCAACAAAGGUUGGGUUGUGCUGAGCCCUAAUCUUUUAAAUAAGACCUACUGUAACAUGCACAGAAUGUUUCCCAUGUUGGAUUCUACCUUACAAGCACUGAUUACGCCCACUGAUGCUUCAUGAGACAACCAAGCCAGACUUGUGCCUCGAUUUGAAAAUACUCUGACACAAUAAAAGAAGACUUCUUAAUCUUUCAUUCAUUUGCUGCAAAGCUGGAAAG